GGGAUUGUCGGCUUGUAGUGUUUUUUUCUUGUAGAGGGGAGGAUAGAUUGAGAGUAGAAUAAUGCGGGUGAGACACACACACAUCGCAUGCAACAGAUAGCAGACAUAUUAUGAGAGCAUUCAAUAGACUAGCAUAUAAUCGUCCACGCCCCGUCGAGUGUGUCUGAUACAAUUAUUGCACCCUACCUGCACGCCACGUAUAGCGGAGCUUCGGCGGAUUGGGCCAAUAAGCAUCGCUGAUCGUACAAACUUCUACCAUCGCAAAGUGGCGACAGCAUUUCGUACAUAAGCACCACAGGGACUGCUCGCUCUUUCCAUAGGCUCCUAUCGUACCUCUUGGGCGGACGCAUGAGGCGUUGAUAACUGACAGAAUUCGUCCUACCAGUAUUAUUUCUCCCGUUCUCAAUCUUCGGGGGUAAAUAGAUACCGAGUAUUCACCGGCAGUAGAUAGUUCGGUCUGUGAUCUAGUGAGCCGUACGGUGUGGGGCUCUCUUCAUUUCUUCGGUGCUGGGUUAUGUUUAAAACAAACUUCUAGAUCAUUUGGGGGUGCAUUUUUGGUGUGGUGGUGACAGAUUUCUUAGUGGUGACUCUCUUCUCAUAUUUUGAUUUUAUUUGUAUUUAUUGCGGGGGGUUAAAAAUCGAGUUGAUUUUUUUAAAAACGAGUGAAAUAAACGCGGUUGGAAUUUGUGGCUUCUCCUUCCCUUUGCUUGUGAACUUCGGUUUUGGUGUUUUAUGAUCAGAAAUAGUUGGUUGGAGGAAAAAUGGCGUUUAACUAUCUGGUGAUUGUGUUCUGCACGACAGCGGGGCGAAGAGGAGCCUUGCUUGGCACAGACGAGGAAGACCUAGUCCUCCUCGUUUCAGUGGUGGUGGACGUUGAAACCAAUAAGGUGGUGAAAUUCAACCAGAACUACAUUCGUCCUGAAAACUCCGAGCUGUCAGAUGAACUUUGCAAUACACUCAGCAUAAGACCUGAUGUAAUUACUGGAGCAGCUAACCUCAGUCGUGUCCUUGCAGAGCUUGACAACUAUCUGACGACCGAACUGGUGGGCGAGGACGGGAAGACCUUCUGCCUUCUGACCGAUGGCCAGCUCCACGUGCGACAAUGCAUCCACCCACAGACCACCAACAAGGGGAUCCCAAUCCCAGAGUACUUCUACAACUUCUUCGACCUCCGGAAGGAGUUCAGACGGAAGUACCCCAACGCACCGCACAUCACAGACGUCAAGGACAUGGCGACCUAUUUGAAAAUAGAUGUGGGUAACUUCAACUACACCGAGACGGGACUAGACGAAUGUCGAACAAUGGCCAGUAUAGUCACAAAGAUGAUCUCAGAUAAUCAUCUGUUCAUGAAACCGGAUUACGUGACGAAGAAAUACGAACCAGGAACAUACGACAAGACAGAUUCUAUACCAGACGAUACGGCAGUGAAAGCCCGUGGUCUCCCGUGGCAAGCAUCGGAUAGAGACGUCUUUCGUUUCUUCAAGGGACUCAACAUUGCUAGGGGUGGCGUUGCUCUGUGUCUGAACACACACGGUCGUAGGAACGGUGAGGUUAUGGUCCACUUUGAAAGCUCAGAACAGAGAGACAUGGCACUACAGAGGCAUAAACACAACCUCGGCAAGAGAUACGUAGAGGUAUUCAAAGCAACUGGAGAUGAGUUUAUCCGGGUAGCUGCUGGAACAUCGAAAGAGGCUACACUGUUUUUAGCUAGGGAUGAAGGCCAUAUCAUCGUGCGCAUGCGGGGUCUCCCGUUCACAGCCUCAGAGAAAGAUGUGGUGGAUUUCUUUGGGCCGGAGAUUCCCGUCGCAGGAGGAGAAGAAGGGAUCCUCUUCGUCAAGCAGAAGAACGGCAAGAUGACUGGAGAUGCCUUCGUGCUAUUCGCCUCUGAGGAUGCUGUGUCCAAGGCACUGUCCAAACAUCGGGAGUACCUAGGAAACAGGUACAUUGAGAUUUUCAGAAGCACGACUGCUGAAGUACAACAGGUCCUGUCUCGUGUCCAGUCCGAGCCCAUCAUGGCGGACAUCCCCCAGCAGCAGGUCAUGCCCCCGAUGAUCCCCAUCCCCAUCCACGCCAUGCCCCCUCACCAUCCACACCAGCCCCCUCCUCCUCCUCACCCGCACUUCAUUACAGCAGGGGUAGUCCGUGACUGCAUCCGAAUGCGCGGUCUCCCGUACAACGCGUCCAUCGAAGAUAUCAUGCUCUUCCUCGGGGAGGCAGCCCAGUUCAUUCGGCCUCAUGGUGUCCACAUGGUCCUCAACCUCCAGGGUAAGCCAAACGGCGAGGCGUUCAUCCAGAUGACCUCUGCAGAGCGCGCCUGCUUGGCGGCACAGACUUGCCACAUGAAGUACAUGAGAGAGCGUUAUGUAGAAGUCUUCCAGUGCUCCGGCGAGGAGAUGCAGAUGGUUCUGACCAGUGGCAUGCGCAACGAGAAGGCACAACAGCCACAAAUAAACGCAAUAUCUCCAACAACUCCGUUGCAUUAUCCUCCACCCAAUCAUCCUCACGCCCAACUCACCCACCCUGGUCACAUGCCUCCGGUCAGUGCAGGCGGUAUUAUGUCCACCAUGCAACAUAUGCCCGGUCACGCCAACCCACACGCCGCAGCCGUAGCCGCCGCCGCCGCAGCAGGCCUCGGUCACCAUCAGCUCCCUCCAGGCGCCACGUUCUUGCACCACCAGCAGCAAUUGAUGUAUGUACAUCCAGGUUUCCCCAGUCCACCCGUGUCGCCAACGGGGCACCAGUUGUACUACCCUGGAGCCGCCACCGGAAACAACGCAGCAGCCGCAGCAUUGGCGGCCGCGCAGAGUAACGCUAUGAUUCGUCUACGAGGGCUUCACACAGGCGCCACUGCCCAAGAUGUCGCAAAAUUCUUCCAGGGCUAUGGGGGAUUAACAUCGGCCCGUGGAACAGAGUCGUGGCAAUGACCUGGCGAUCAGGGGGCCUAGAGGGGGUCAACCUAUUACCCCUCUCUGGCUCCUAACUUACAUACAGGGUGAUGAACUCUAACUAUGCAAUAGGUACCUCCAGAAAGCGUUCAAGUGAGUCAGAACGGCGAGGCCGUGGUCCCAUUUUCUUCCCAAGACAUUGCAGUUCGUGCACUGCAAGAUCGACAACGUCAAUUCUCCGGCAAAAUGGAACUAUUCGUUGCUUAAGGGCGAGUAAGAAGAAGAUAAGAAUAAAUAGACGGAUCGUCUGCUGCUGUGUGGGAUCAAAAUAUUUGACUUGCUUGAUCGCUUUGCUUAAACUCAAAACUCUUUUUGUAUAUCUAUACACAAAGAGUUUGUGACGUAAUUGCUAAAAUCUUCCAACCUUUCUGACCCAGGCGUAUAGAAUGCUUCAUUUUGCUCCUGUACGUAUAAUAACACGAACACAUUGGCGAGUUUUGAUUGGUUCGCUUUGGAGCAUCACGUGCUUUGCUUUUGCACCAAGCCUAUCCGAUCGAACGCAAGUGUAAAUAUAUGGUGACGCCAAUAGGUUAAGUAUGAGUUUUCAAAACUGUCAUGAAAGAUUGGAAGAUUUCAGCAUUGAGUGCGUCCAUGCAAAAGAAAAAAAUGAGUCUGGGUACCCACGACAACGGCUGAUAUAUUAUUUAAUAAAAUGAGCUUGCCAGGUUUGCUCGGUUGGUUUACAAUUCCAGUAAAAACACUGUUCUUUAAAAAAAUGUUUUUUCACCAUUUUUGCCACAGUAAUGAUGUGUUUCUUUAUGCUAACAUGUGUGCAGAGGUAUUGUCUUGAGUGUGUUAGAAUUCCAGUAUAGUCUAUGUACAUCUCCUUCAUUCCAACUCCUUUGAAAUGUCAAAUAUUAAUGAUUUUCCGCUAGGAAUUUGUUUGAAAUCUCAUUUUUGUUAGACUAGUGUAAGAUUAAUCAUCUUGGUUUUAACAGAAACAGUCUCACUUUCCAGCUCAAUUUUUUUUAACUGAAAUUUUCUUUGAUCACGCAUUGAUUGUCAUCCUUAGAUGGAAAUAACGAACAAAAUUGUUCAAGCACAACUCAAUUUGGAAAAUAAGAGUUUGUUUCUAAAUGUGAUAUUUUACUUAUACGAUUUUAGGAUUUCGUCAUUUACCUUGACUGUAAAUGUAUUUGUCCAUCAUCAGUACGAAUUGGAAUAGAAGUAUUUCAUUUUAUUCUUCAAAAGAAUAAAAAAGAAAAGAAGGGCUGUAGAAACGAAAAACAUAUGAGAAAAUGAAGACUUGCCAGCCAUUAAAAUAACUACGGUUUAAUGGUGAGCUUAUUUUGAUUAACCCUCAAAUAAGGAAUGAUGCUGGCUUGCCGAUAAAAGAUAAAGAAAUAAUAUUAUUAAUUUAGGAUGAUAUUAAUCGUAUUAAUGAACUCUUGUGUAUAAAUUCAAAGUAAGAAAAUAUAUGAAUUAAUAACUGUAUCAGUAUGUAUUGGUACGGUUGUAGAUUAGUACUAUUUCCAAGUUCUAUAUUUUGUAAAUAUUAUAUUUGACGCCUUGUUCAAUGCGAGUUGGCAACACCAAAAUGUGCCUUAUAUUAUCAUUAGACGGAUGCCUUCCUGCAAAAGCUGCUAUCUUUGCUUUCAAAGACUUCCAGUACAUUUGUAAAAUAGUUGUAACUUCCAUAUUUGAAUGUAUACACAUAAAUAUGUAAAUUUGCAUUUUGUGAUGUCUACUUGUACGACAAAAUCCCUACGUCUUCCAAAUAUAUUAUGUGCUAAGUUUGUGACCAAUAUGAGUAUCAUUUUGAUACUCGGUUAAAUGAAUUUGCCUUAUUAUGUGUUUAUAAAAUAAUGUAAGAUUAGCAAUAAUCAUCGUUGUAAUAAUUCAUGAAUUCUAGUUUAAUUAUCAAGUGCCUACAGAAUGUAAGCCAAUGUUUAAGCUCGCACCAGGCUUCCAAAUCAUCAGUAAAACCUCAUGUGUUUUUUAAUGUUUUCAGUACCUUGAUAACUAUCCAAUACAUGUAAGAUGAAACUCUGGAAAUUUGAUAUAUAGAAUCUUUGUUGAUGAAAUGUCUAAGCACUGAAUAUAUUAUAUAAUCUCUUAUUGAUUGAAAGCAUUUGAAUCCGGGCAGUAUUUUACCGAAUAAUGAUAUUUUUUUUAAAAUCAGAGUUUGAAUGAAAGCAUUAAAUACGUAGCCAUAGCUCAGACAUAGGAGGGGAUUUAAUCGGGGAACAAACGUUUAAACCUAUGUUCAUUCCAGGGUUAGCUAUGCAAGAAUGCUAGAACUAUAAGUAAACUCUCAGAGUAAAGUACAGAAAAGAGAUGUAAUUUUAUGAUAAUUAUCAAUUUGGCGGCGGAACCGGGAAAGUUAGUGGCAUGGGUGGUUGCUCAUAAUUAUUAGUGAGCUCCAACUUAUCCCCGUCCCUUUCUGAUUAUGACAAGACUUUUCACAUUCCGAUAGAAAUAUGAAGACUUUGUGUUUCAUUGAUAUUCCCCGGGCCAAUAUUCAUUUUCUGAAUGUGUAUGAUUCCAUCAUGUUUUGAACCACUUACCCUCGUUAGGUUCCGUCGCCCCUUAAUAAUCUUCUAGCUAGAAAAAUUGUAUUAUAUUAGAAAUUAUGAAUAUAUUAAAUAGAUUAGUAUAGUUUGAAUUACAAUUUUUAAUCUAAAAAUUUAGUAUGAUGUACAGAAUUAUGAUCGAAUUUAUAUUAUGUAUGAAUAUUAGAUAAUAAUCUAGAAAAUUAGACCUUUUUUUUUAUUUGAGCGAACAUAUUAUGUAACAAAUGCCUUAUUAUGUAUGAACAAAAAUAUUACAGUAGAGCUUUGCACUAUACACGAUGCAGUGAUUUGUGUAAUGUGUAAUGUGGUAAGCAACAUAAUCUAGAGAUUUCAAAUGUAUAUUUUGUUUUGUUUUUAAAAAUUGCACUUGCCACGCAUGUACGUUAUACAUUCACUCUCGUUUGUCCUGUAAUACCGUCGUAUUGUCUAGCAUUUUAGGUUGUCGUAUUAUAAUGUAAUUGUAAUAUCAAGAUUAUUUUGCUCUGUGUUGUUUAGUCGUAGAAAGAUAAGAGGUUGAAACUAUAUCUCCAUUGUAAAUAUAUUUCAUCGUUUGGCACAAUGACUGUGUGUUGUAUCAGAAUUGCACUUCAGCUUACUAAACAUACGGCCUAUAUGCUCCAAGAUCUUACAAGUUUAGUCCGGUGACAAAAAUGCCGAUUCAUAUGAACAAUAACAAGAACAACAAAACAUAAAUAGUUCUUUCAAUAUCUUGUUAUCAAAAUGCUGUUUGCCCUCAAAAUAGGAAACCUCUUGCUCAGAUAUUUGGUACGUUUGAUCCAAUUAUAUUAGUAAUGACAAUAGCUUAAUAUUUAAAACAGAGGAAUAUUAUUUGUCUAUGCAAAUUAGGCCGUUCUUGCUGUAUUACAUACAAUUUCGCCACAUUUACAAACGCACAAAGGUUAUUAUUUAAGAAGAUAAUGAAAGGUAAAUUGAUAGGGCUUUGAUUUUCGGACAUACUCCCUUCAUACCUCGUUGUAGAUCUCCGUUUAUGUACAAGAAAGGGAUAUUGGAAUAUGUCAGUGUUUGUUAGUGACGCGAUAUUUCACUUCACGCUAAACUGUCUUUCUCUUUUAAUCUACUUUAACAGAUCAGAAUCGUACAUUUAUUUCUUAUAAUUUGUAUCGUUAUUGCAAUGACGUACUUCGUCAUUGUAUUGUCUUCGUUCACGCGUUCUUCUCUAUUAUUAAUAUUCUUCUUCGGACUUGUCUUCGUCAAGAAAUCCCAUUCAUUUUGCACGUAGUGCUUCUUAUUCCUAUCUAGGUCCUUUCCUAAUUUUAUUAUGUUUUAUCUUUUAAUACUUCAGCGCCUCUACGUUCCAAUGCAGUUGACUUCUGUUGUCAACUCGGUCGGAUUUCUUUAAUGAGAAGUGUUUUAUGUCAUUUUUCCUCCAUAUGAAUAUUAGAUUUAAUAUCAACGUUAGUCUGUAGAUAGGGUUAUAUCAUUUAGACAACAUUUCGAAGGUUCUACAACAGGUCUAUGUUUAAAUGUUAGUUUGCCUCUGUGGUUGAGUAUAAUAGUUUUCCGUUUUUGAUCAUCACUGCAAAAACUUUCUCACACUGCGCUUGAAUACGGUCAUCUUUGUAUAAUCAAGAUGUCUUUCUAUUCUAUCAUGAUUUAAGAAGUCCAGACAAAAGUUCGAAAUUCGAUAUAUAUAUAUAUAUAUAUAUAUAUAUAUAUCAGAAUAAUCGACAAGUAUCGAAUUCUUUUCAUCUUGAUCAGGCCUAAAGUGGAGUUUUUCUUCAUUUUCUGUGUUGUUUUUGGGGUAUAUUUUAAGAGUGGGGUGACGAAAGAGCACUUAUAUAAGUGAGGUAUGUUUUCGGUUCACAAGGACAUGACUUUAAAAAACCACGUUUUUUAAAUGUUUUACAGCAGUGGCUGUUGCAAAGGGAGAAUCGGGGAAAUUACUUUUUGAUGUGAAUAGGUGUCAUGGGAAAAAACAUGCGGAGCCUUAAUUCAUUAUUCGGGAUUGUCUUGCAUUCUGUAUGGAAUAAUUCUAGUUUGGGCUCCCUGUUUCUAUACUAACUCUUUGAGUAGUAGUUUAUUUACUGAAGUGUGUAUUUUCCCAGGUAGUAGGGAUGAGUUGGUUCUUUGGAGGGUCCUUUUUUAAUUGAAACGCCAGGGCUACAGGGUAUUCUAAAAAAAAUGUGUUGGGUCACGCAGUGACGCUAUUCACAUGUGCUACGCAUGAUACGUGCAAUAUUAUGGUGUAGAAAAAAAUGAGGAAACUACGAAAAAUAGUAUCUGUGGCUCAAAUAAUGAAAGAGAAAGAGUUUAGCAACUCGAAAUUGCCAGGGAUAGCUUUUGAAUAUGUAUCAGAUUUUUUAGAUUUUGAAUGAGAAGAUGUUUAAAUUUAGUGUCCAAUAAAGAUAAUGAAUUAUAUAGAUUAUACACAAUUUGUCAACUAAUAAAUGUCUAAAAGAUUAAUUCACAUGUCGAUUGUGAUAUAUACCGACAGGGUAUUAUUGUAUAUUUGGCAAGAUAUGUAGAGUAAAGAAAAAUUAUUGUAUUUGAAUUGUUCAGCAGUCUGUAGUUAUAGGCGUAACAACAAUUAACUGCAAACAAUAUUGAUACAACUUACUGCAAGAAAAUGAUUUUUGCAGAAUUGUUACAAAGUGAACAUUUCUAUCUUGUCACAGUCAUUCUCAGUGUGAUUAAUUCUAAUUAAUGUUUCGAAAAUUUCUUGUAUUAUUCAUUUUUAGCAAGCUUCAAAUAAAUUUUCACAAAUUAUGUAUAGAUAAAAA